GAUGAACGCUAGCGACAGGCUUAACACAUGCAAGUCGAGGGGCAGCGCGGAGGUAGCAAUACUUCUGGCGGCGACCGGCGCACUGGUGAGUAACACGUAUGCAACCUGCCCCGUGCAGGGGGAUAAUCCGGAGAAAUCUGGUCUAAUACCCCGUACGCCUCCGUCCCGCAUGGAAUGGAGGUGAAAGGAGCGAUCCGGCACGGGAUGGGCAUGCGGCGCAUUAGCUAGUCGGCGGGGCGACGGCCCACCGAGGCGACGAUGCGUAGGGGUUCUGAGAGGAAAGUCCCCCACACUGGUACUGAGAACACGACCAAACUCCUACGGGAAGCAGCAAUGACGAAUAUUGGUCAUUGGACGGGAGGUCUGAACCAGCCAAGUCGCGUGAGGGACGACGGCCCUACGGGUUGUAAACCUCUUUUGCGGGGGAGUAAAGUGGGCAACGUGUUGCCCAUUGCGAGUACCCCGAGAAAAAGCAUCGGCUAAUUCCGUGCCAGCAGCCGCGGUAAUACGGAAGAUGCGAGCGUUAUCCGGAUUUAUUGGGUUUAAAGGGUGCGCAGGCGGCAUGUCAAGUCAGCGGUCAAAGUUCCGGGCUCAACCCGGUGAUGCCGUUGAAACUGGCGAGCUUGAGUUCGUGGGAGGAAGGCGGAAUGCGCGGUGUAGCGGUGAAAUGCAUAGAUAUCACGCAGAACCCCGAUUGCGAAGGCAGCCUUCCAUCACGCCACUGACGCUGAGGCACGAAAGCGUGGGUAUCGCACA
rnacentral:rRNA from 1 species